rnacentral:rRNA from 1 species
AGAGUUUGAUCCUGGCUCAGGACGAACGCUGGCGGCGUGCCUAACACAUGCAAGUCGAGCGGAGACAGUGAGUAGCUUGCUAUGAGCUGUUUUAGCGGCGGACGGGUGAGUAACGCGUGAGCAACCUUUCCCAGACAGGGGAAUAACACACCGAAAGGUGUACUAAUACCGCAUAAGACCACGGGAUCACAUGGUUCUGGGGUAAAACGAUUUAUCGGUUUAGGGGUGGGCUCGCGUCCGGUUAGUAGUUGGUGAGGUAAC